ACCGCUGCCUUCACUGCGUUGCCACAAGUGCAAGCUGUUAUUGUUCCCCGGGGAUCAUCGGGAAGACUUUCGGGCUCAUCUGAACACAGCUUUCGAGGCACAGACGCGGGAGAUGCAACUACGACCGACAGUGAGCAGCAUUCCAUGGCCUUCUUGUUGCCCAAGUGGGGACAUCUGCACAGCACGAGACGACGAUAGUUCCCAACUCCACGGUGCGCUCCGUUGGACUAGGGUUCCCAUGUGCAGAGGCCAGCGUGGGAAAAGCAUGUACAGGCACGCAGACAACUGCAUCCAGUGAUGCUCCACUGCAUGUGGAGAAGAAAGGCCUGGCUAACGUGACAAGCUUGGGUGAAUGGAGCAGAGCCAGAAGAGUGGCAUCACGCCUUGUUUCUCACAAGAUUGGUCAGGCCACGGCUGCUCUGCAGUUCAACUUGCCCGUGGCUCACAAGUCUGUUCAGUGUGUCCCCAGAGUCAAGAGCAAGUCGACACAGUUCUCUGGUACUAGUACGAGGACGUCGAGGAGUCGGCCGACAAGAAGGGCUGCGGUUAGGCCAAGUUCUGCUUCAGGUAACUGGCACAGCAAGAGUUCCCACAGUUGCCCACUUAGUCGUUUGUGUUUCUUUAAACCCUUUCCGUAUGGAAGACGAGCUGAGCUCGUCAUGUGUAUACAGUGAAAUCUCAAUAUAACGAAUUUCAGGGGGACGUGGCAAAUUGUUUGUUAUUCUGAAAGGUCAUUAUGAUGAAAGCUCCAAAAUUAACCUUGUCGCCCAUCAGUUUAUCAAUUGUCACCGCACGAGCUGUCCAUGAAAACGUUGCUCUUGGCUCUCGGCCUGCGCUGUUGCUAUUUUCCAUAGAUUCCGCCACCACGCACUGCCACAGCACCAUAUGUAGAGUGGCGCGCACGAAAGAGAAGCUGAUGCCGAGAAAACCACCGACAACGAAGGUCCAUGUCGCCUAUAAAGUGUAAUGUUUCUUGUUUGCUUGUUUUUCAUAUUCCUUGCCAUGGAUGCAACUGUCUUGCUCGAGGCGGACACCUGAACUAUUCCAAAGUGCAAGGGUGUGUAAAUGACACAGUCUGGAAAGUGCAACCGUUUGGUAUCCUCGCCUGCACAGAGGUUAAUUUCUCCGCACGCCUAACCGAUACGGCUGCAGAAAGAAGCGCGAAAGAAGGAAGAGACAUGCCUCUGUUGCUGGACGACACUUGCCUGGGCGGAGCAUGCGCUCACAAAACCUGAUGCAUCGUCACCUGCACAGUAGAACAAAGAAAUGUCGCUUCCGGCACUUUCUUUUUUUUUCUUUCUUUCUUUAUUUUUCUCUGGCGCCAUCCUGGGUUUGCUGAACCCAUGCGUCGCAGCGCCCGCUUUCUGUGCCUUGUCUGCUAGUCUACUGUUCCGGCUGCCGUGACUGGAUACACGGAAAUCUAAGAAUCCCCAGAUUUUGGAAUAUUAAUUCGUAGUACUGAGGCAUUGUUUGCAUGACACAGAAACUGAAUAACCAUCGUUAUUCUGAAAAGUUUGGUAUUAUGAAGUUUGUAGUACUGAAAUAUUUUUACAUUGAAGCUCUAAGCUGUCAGCAGGAAAUUUCUGACAAGUUUGUUAAUCUGAGACAUUCUUUAAUGUGCUGUUCGUAGUAAUGAGGUUUCACUAUACGCGCAAAAUGAUUAUUCAGGUGCCCGACUUGUCCAGCGCUGUUUUAUUUUUCAUGCAGCCCUCAAGACAACUUGAGCUCAUCGGUUGCUCGGUACGUGUCGAGAACAACACCAGAUGUCACAAGGAGUCCUUUGAAACGUGAAGUUGUGAACAUAGACUUUUUUUAUUUUGUGGUUGUGUCGUCAGACCUCUAUUUCAAGAUGGAAUGAGUGAAUGUGGGAUGAGUGAACGCUUCAAGCCAUGUUAAAAAGAAAAAGUGUGACGAUUUGGAGACCUCAGCUUCAUUGAGUGAAAGUGGUUUAGAACUGGCCUCCGACAACAGCGAUGAGUCAUGGAUGGAAUUCUUCAGUUUUGUUGGCUCCCCUGUGUGGAGUGAAGCCCACCUUUGUUACAGUCUUGAAGUUUUUUCUAAUAAACUUCGCCUCUGUGACCUUUGUGAA
rnacentral:lncRNA from 1 species